CACCUACGGGGGGCAGCAGUUGGGAAUCUUGGACAAUGGGCGAAAGCCUGAUCCAGCCAUGCCGCGUGAGUGAUGAAGGCCUUAGGGUUGUAAAGCUCUUUUACCCGGGAAGAUAAUGACGGUACCGGGAGAAUAAGCUCCGGCUAACUUCGUGCCAGCAGCCGCGGUAAUACGAAGGGGGCUAGCGUUGUUCGGAAUUACUGGGCGUAAAGCGUGCGCAGGCGGUCUAACAAGUCAGGGGUGAAAGCCCAGAGCUCAACUCUGGAAUUGCCUUUGAAACUGUUAGGCUCGAGUGCGGGAGAGGUGAGUGGAAUUCCCAGUGUAGAGGUGAAAUUCGUAGAUAUUGGGAAGAACACCGGUGGCGAAGGCGGCUCACUGGCCCGUUUCUGACGCUCAUGCACGAUAGCGUGGGGAUCAAACAGGAUUAGAUACCCUGGUAGUCCU
rnacentral:rRNA from 1 species